GCAAACUACAGGAAAAGAGAUUCCACCUCAACAUUAGGAGGAACUUCCUGAAAGUCAGGACAGAUGUCCAGAGAGGACUCAGAUUAUUCACUUUCUCUCAUCUUCUAGAGACACAGAGAGGAAAAAGGACAGGAGAGAAUGUUGUGUCUGAAACCAUGAAGACUAGAAACAUCUUUAAAAGAUUCUUACAACACAAAGAGUUUGAUUCUGGUGGGCUGAAAGAGCUUCAUGUUUCAACCAGAUAUACCAGGGGUAGGCAACCUUUUUGAGCCGGGGGCCGGG